rnacentral:rRNA from 1 species
UACGAAGGGUGCUAGCGUUGUUCGGAAUCACUGGGCGCAAAGCGCGCGUAGGCGGCCAAUCAAGUCAGGGGUGAAAUGCCACAGCUCAACUGUGGAACUGCCUUUGAAACUGAUUGGCUGGAAGAUGAGAGGGGAUAGCGGAAUUUCUGGUGUAGAGGUGAAAUUCGUAGAUACCAGAAGGAACACCGGUGGCGAAGGCGGUUCUCUGGGCCUGUACUGACGCUGAGGAGCGAAAGCGUGGGGAGCGAACAGG